rnacentral:guide_RNA from 1 species
AAACCAACAGAAGGAUAUUGCUUGUGAGUUAAUGAUCUUAUAUGA